UAAAGGGGAAGCAUGCUGCUCUCAAGCAUCAAUAGGAAAAAACUGGUGACGAUGAAGAGGACUUGGCAACAGGUGACAUAGAUGUUACACUACCAUCAAAGCCAGCCUCACCAAGACCAGGACCCAGUGGCAUCCAAAACCUCCAAAUCUCAUCACCUCCAGAGCCUCUGUCACCAGACACUGAAACAGAGGGAGUAGUGGAGAUAGCAUCUGAACCAGCUCCACCACAAGCUGAUGAUCACCAAUACAGCCAACCUCCUCAUGCUGGUAGAAAUCAGAGAGGCUAAUCACGUCGUGAGGGUACACUGGCUCCAGAAAUGCUUCAAGUUCAUGAGGACAUAAGAAACUCCUUGUCUGAUUUGACUGAAUGCAUUACUACAUAUUUGCCAGGAAUGGCAACAUCUUUGAAUGAAUUGGCAUCUCGCAGACUUGUUUAGGAACAUUUCAAAAUGUCCGACAAAAUAUUCUUAUGUUAUUUUUGCAUUCCAGUGUCAUUUCUUUUCUGAUAUGCUCAUUACCAAUUUCUUUUUAUUUAAGGAAUACUCUUAUUAUUUUCCACAGUUAUUUUUCUAUUUUGCUUGAUAUAUAGGUAGUUAUUUCUUUUUAAAUUUAAGGAGUUUAUACCCUGUUUUCAAAGUGCCAUUUAUUUUCUUAUUUUGUACAAUGACAUUUAUUUCUUUUUAAGGAGUACCCUAUUUAUUAAUGAUGAAAUGUGUUUGCACUAAAAGUUCAAAUGUAAUGCAGACUUGGCCUCCAAAUACCAUUUAUUAAUUAUGAAAUAAUUUUA